rfam:Asian citrus Psyllid, Diaphorina citri - Florida Strain, whole genome shotgun sequence.
AGAUAAGGAAAUAGUUCGUUGAAUAGCCGACUCCCGAGUUUCUAAUGGAUCACUGAAGUUAAGCAACGUUGUGCGAGGUUAGUAUCUGGAUGGGUGACCAUCUGGACUGUGUCACGUUUCUGGAUUUU